GGAGCUGGGGGAGCGGAGCCCGGGGAGGAGCGGGAGCCAGGGGCGGAGCGGGAACGGCGCUGGCUCGCCCAGAGCUUUUGUCUGCCGGAGGAGAGGAUGCCGACCGGGACCGGGUCCUGGCCUAGCAGCGGGGUGCUCGGAGAACCCCGCUGCAGAGAUGUGCGAAGCAGCACCAUGGAAAGGAGGAGCUGAUGAAGGGGAAGGAAGAGAAGAGAACUCCAGCUUUGCCAGGCCACUGGGGGAUGAGAGCAUCACGGAGGAGGCAGCAUCCAGCUAAUAACAUCCUAAAGCAGGCUGUUGCGAAGAUGGCCACAGGGAUGGUGUGACUGCUGCCAGUGCCCCACCUAUAGCAUCACCACCCAGCACCCAGAAACACCACCUCACAAUUUAGGGACCAGGGAAAGGAAUACUUGCAGAAGUAACAGAGACCAAAAUGCAACAUGAAGCCCUUGUACAUCCUCUAACACGGCAGCGAUUUGCUCCAUAAUUCCUAUAAAAGCCUCAACUAUUGCAAGGUUUGAGUCUACUAGAUAUUAUAAUGUUAUUGAAGCUGCAAGGGCUGAGCUUGUUUCUAUCUACAAUCCAGAUUGCCAUCAAAAACUGUGCUUCCCUCCAUCAAUCUAUGGGAUUAUUCCUGCUACCAAAUGCUGCUCACAUGUAAGGCUUUCAGAGUCUUGCCCAGAAAGACAAACCUCGCUUUGUUAUGUUUUUUUCCAAUUAGUUUUCCCAUAUUUGGGAGAAAACAUACAAGAGAAAAGGAAAUGCAAGUGGGAAGCAUCAUUGUACAAAGACCAUUUCAAGUAGCAGGCUCCUGUGAAGGCAAGUUCAGAGUUACAGAAAUGCUAUUGGUCGCAGAGACAAUUGCAUGCACUAUGAAAUAAUUAUUCUGCUAGUUCAGCUCUUUGGUACUAUUUGAAAGAUCUGGAAGUCAAGUAUUUAAUAAUCUUCUGCCCCAAAAGGAUCAAUGUAUUUCUGCAGGAUCAAUGAUUGUGCAUCCCCUGCAAAACUGGAGAAAAUCAACUUCUACAGAAGCUCCUUACCAGAAACCACUCGUUGGCCCCACAGUUUACCCGAGACUCUGCGCAGCCACCAAGCUUAAAAGUAAAAAGCUUAAAAGUAAAAAGAGAUUUUUGAGGAUGGGGAAGGCACAAUGGAUGCGGCCAGUAACAAUGACUUAUCCAUGGUCAGUGACUCCCAGUGCUGCCCUGGUGCUCUGUUGUGCUUGACGGGCAGAAGAAAUCUCCUCAAAGGCCUGGGAAUGGCCCAGAACAGCCCAGGCUGCCACAAAGGUCUGCACCAGCAUCCAGAGGAGAAGGAGGAGGAGGAGGAAGCAGCAUGAAAUGGGAGAGCAUUUUGGAUGGGCAAGAUCAUCGGAUCUUCACCUGUGUUUGGGCUGGCUGCAUGGGGAGAAAUGCUUCUCCUUUACUCAUAUUCUGCUUUAGCAUUUAAAAAUAAAUAAAUGAAAUAUUCAUACAUAUACUUCUAUAUAACACAUAUAU